GGGUCUAAUAAACAGGAAAAAAAUAAAAUGUUAAUUUUGUCACAACUAAGGUAAUUGUCUUUAGUAAACAUUUACCAUCUUGCAGUUGCCCUCCAAAGAGGCAAAUCAACCCAUUCAGUCAUCUAAAUGUAUUUUGCAGCUUAUUCACUUUGGCUGGCACAUUUGUAAGGCCCUGUGGUAGAGAAUCAACUGUUCUGGGUUUAGGUGCUGAUAAUACGGAAUCUGAAUUUAGAUUCUUGCUAAGCUUUAUCAUACGGAAAUUCAGAGUCUCAGGAAAACACCUGAACAAGUGUUGGCCUGAUCCAAAGUUCCUUUCUGUGGAGUAUCUUAGCUUAUAUUGCCUGGUACCCAAUGCCAUGUGGAAAUGAAGCAGCUAUUAAUUAAGACAUUCAGAAAUCUGGAACUCGAAGCUCUUAAUACCCAUCACCUGAUGAUAUCCUCUCUGGAGAAACAAAUGAUAUUACUGCGGUAAAGCACAUCAUAUGAAGAUUUUUGACCUUUUUCAGAAAAUAAUUUUCACAUGUGGCAACAAGUGCAAUAUGCCCAUGAGAAAUCUCUUCAAAGCUGUGUUUGCUUGGUAUUUAAUAUUGCUUCUAAAUAACAAAAGGAACUGCCCAUUAAACCUGCUAAACUGCCACUCGUGUUUGUCCCAAGAACAACUUGAAAAGUAAAAUCACAUACCCCACCCCCACUCUGAGAUAAUCAGUGGUAAGCAAAACCCUGUGUCCAUGCCUGCUCUUCCUAAAAAUAAAAAAAGGGCCUGGA